CUCUCCUCUUUCCGCCGCCUCCACGCUCGCUUCCUCCUCCAUCCUCCCGCGUCAGUCGCACCCCCUCCUCCCCUCCCGCAUCUCGUCCACCCUGGGAUCCGGCGAGGUCGGGUCCUCGAGCCAUGGAGGCACUCGUCGCCGGUCCCUCGCCGUUGGCCUCCCAUGCGUCGCACCACCCCUCCUGCCGCCUCGGCUCUCUCCUCCCGCCUCGGCUCUCACCUCCAGCUGCAGCUCUAGAGGAGAGGAGAAGACAAAGACAGAGAGAUGGCCGCCGGUGCUGGCGCUGCUGCUGGCGUCGAUGCUGGCGGCCCCGCCGCCGACUGCUACUCCUCCACCGCCUCGCCUCUUCCUCCUCCUCGCCUUCCCAUCGCUCACGCGCAGGUCGCCCGACGGCAGGGAUGGUCAGGAAGGCUUCCCAGCCCGACGGUGCCGUCAUGGGAGCUGCAGGGCGGAGGUGAGGAUGCGUCGCUCGCGGAUUUGAUCGAGGGUGCCACGCCGCCGUCGCCGACUGGAUUUGCUCCUCCAUCGCCGCCGCGAGUCAACUCCACCGUUUUCGCCAGGAAUCCCUCCCCGGCAAGGUCUCCCUCGUUGCUCCUCCUCCUACAAUCUCUCCCACAAUGCAGGAGGAGCGGAAGGGGCCACGGAUGAGGAGGAAGGAGACUAGCAGGAGGAGGAGAUAUUCUUUUUCGAUUUGGUUCUCAUGCUGGCAUCUCCCUGCUGUCUGCUUUCCUUUUAGUUUCCAACUUUGAUGCUUGGAUUUGUUGUCUUGGCCAGCAGGAGUAGGAGGAGACAGGGAGGAUGAGGAAGGAGACAAGAAGGAGGAAGAGAAAAUCUUGCUUGCCUUAUGGACUCGCAAUAAACAGGCAAUUGGUUGGGCUACAUGAUAGACACUUUAAUAUAUCUUCUUGGAAGCCGCUUAGUGUUCCAAUGAAUAAUUGUCGCUGGUGUGGUGAACGCCUUCAUUGUUUCGUGGGCUGCUUCCUGCCUGGUGUGGUUGAAGAAUUUUCAGAGGCAAUUGGUUGGGCUACAUGAUAGACACUUUAAUAUAUCUUCUUGGAAGCCGCUUAGUGUUCCAAUGAAUAAUUGUCGCUGGUGUGGUGAACGCCUUCAUUGUUUGGUGGGCUGCUUCCUGCCUGGUGUGGUUGAAGAAUUUUCAGAGGCAAUUGGUUGGGCUACAUGAUAGACACUUUAAUAUAUCUUCUUGGAAGCCGCUUAGUGUUCCAAUGAAUAAUUGUCGCUGGUGUGGGGUGAACGCCUUCAUUGUUUGGUGGGUUGCUUCCUGCCUGGUGUGGUUGAAGAAUUUUCAGAGGCAAUUGGUUGGGCUACAUGAUAGACACUUUAAUAUAUCUUCUUGGAAGCCGCUUAGUGUUCCAAUGAAUAAUUGUCGCUGGUGUGGUGAACGCCUUCAUUGUUUGGUGGGCUGCUUCCUGCCUGGUGUGGUUGAAGAAUUUUCAGAGAUGUAUGUACCAUGAUGAUUGAGGAGGCGUAUCGAUGGAAAUAAAUCUGAAGAAAAUAAGUCAAAUGCCCACUAUUCAGCAGACAGGUAACUCUGUUUCUUAAAUCCCUUUCUCUAUUCAUCGCCCUGUUGAUACAUGCUUAGCAAUCAGAUAAAUUGUACUCAUAUAUAAUUUAAUAUAUCUCAGAUACAGUGUCCAGAUCAUUUAGGAACCAGCGUCACUUCAAAAAAAGAUAGGACCUGAUACACAUUACAUUCAUGGACUGCUGAUAUACCUGAUGCAUUUCUUCAUGAUGGUCGGUUUCCUUUCACCAGAUCUGACAUAUUUAAUUCUGUGUGCUUGGAACCCGAAACUGAUCGAGAUCUUCAGUUCUUACUUGCAGAUGUUCUGUUAUUCAGAGUAAUUCAGUUUCCAGUCUCUGUAUAUUAAUCAAAUUAUGGGUUAUUUUCAACCUUAUACCCUUUUAUUAUGUGUUCAGUUAUGCUUCCAUGGGUUUGCAUAUGUAUUAACAAUAAAAAACAGACUAUUAUUUUGUUUAUACUUGAACCAAAGGGUGUACAAUUAAUUUGCUCUUACGAAAGGAAUGAGUAGUCAGCUAGCUGAAUGAGACGACAAUCAUGACAAGCGAACCAACACAUAUAGAGAAAUGUUAUUUUCCAGUUCAUUGUGAAAGAAGGCACAUAAGUUUUCAGAGUUCUAGAAUGUGUUUCAUUAAGAAACAAUUAUAACACUGUACUCUAACAAAUCACACAUAUGGAGAAAUGUUAUUUUCGAGUCUCCAUAACAUACUGAUCUUUUUUUAGAUAUAUGAACUUGCAUUCGCUUUGUUAAUUCUUCUGCAAUGCAGGUAAUAUUCCUAAUCAUUGCUGCUGACGCUGAAAAACUACUCCUGAAGCACUAGAAGUGCCCUCUCUAUGGCGCAUCACUCACUGGAUCCAGAUGGGCAACAUUCCGCUUCAAAAUUAAAGAGUACAGUUUUUGCCUGCCAUCAUUGCUUACCAAGAGUAAUCUACCAUGUGCCUAAUAUAUAUAUACAUAAUUGUUGCACCAUCACAAGAUUCCCAGGAUAUACAUGGGCAUAACUUUCUUUACUGUGAAUUAAUCGACAUGAUGCUGACAGGAGGAAAGGCAGGCUGUCAUUUCUAAAGGUUGAGAUUUUCUGUUUUAAGGAAUAGCAAUGCUAAAUUCUACAAUGGUACUCUGUCGAAUGUUUACAAAUACCACGAAGCUAGAGAUCUAUUGUGAAAACUUUCUUUCUUUUGUUUGUUAUAAGUUUUUAGUCAAAAAAACAUGACUUUUCCAUUACCAAACAAAUAUGUAAGAUUUAUUGCUUUUCUAACCGAAGUGUUCCUGACAAUUACAUAUGAGAGUACAUAUAACUGAGUUGUGCUGACUUGCUUUUUCUAAACUGGUAAGCUGGAGUCGGAGUUACAUAUGAGAGUAGAGAUAAUUAAGUUCUGCUCCUGACUUGAUUAACAAAAGCUAUAGAAGAAAGGGACCAAAUACCAGACAGCUGAAAAUUCAAAGAAAGGUGGAAGUAGGGAACUACACAACUUGAUUCAAGGUUACAAAGGGACAAAGGGCAUCUAUUGAGCAGCAGAAAACAAUAAUGGACUGAGCUAAGGAUAUAGUGGUCAAUUAGUAAAGAGAUCUGUGGUAAGUGUAGCAGCGGGACGCAAACGGAACUUUUGUGACUUACUGAAGUCGAGCAGGAGUUCAGAAAAGAAAUUGCAACCGAAGUAGAACCUCUUCACCAAGAGAACAUAGGGAUUUUAAGUUUUUUGUAGCCUGCACCGGAGACUGUAGAGUUAAGUUUCUACAUCUUAGUGUACAGUUUAACUAUAUAAGGUUACUUACUAUGUAGUAAAUAUUGGCUUUUGCCAUUGCUGAUCAAGUCCUUCUCUCUGUGCUUGGAAGCAUAAACCUACUUAGUGAUCCGUUUUCAGUUAAGCUAAACUUAUAUCUUUCUGCUAACAUUUUAGUGCUCUAAUGAUUAUUCAGAAGGGGAUUUGCAUGUUCCUAGAUGCAUAGCCUUUCUUAUAUAUGUUUUCAGAAGACUGGAUUUUUUAGGGAUAACAUUGGGAUUUAAGAUAGUUUUUUUUUGUUGAAUUCUGGAACUGAAAUC